rnacentral:rRNA from 1 species
AAAAUGAAUCAAAACUUUCAACAACGGAUCUCUUGGUUCUGGCAUCGAUGAAGAACGCAGCGAAAUGCGAUAAGUAAUGUGAAUUGCAGAAUUCAGUGAAUCAUCGAAUCUUUGAACGCACAUUGCGCCCGUCAGUAUUCUGGCGGGCAUGCCUGUUCGAGCGUCAUUACGCCCCUC